rnacentral:hammerhead_ribozyme from 1 species
AUCCAGCUGAAGAGUUCCAAAUAGGACGAAACGCGCUUCACACUAGAC